rnacentral:rRNA from 1 species
GACGAACGCUGGCGGCGUGCUUAACACAUGCAAGUCGAACGAGAAUCUACUGAAAGAGUUUUCGGACAAUGGAAGUAGAGGAAAGUGGCGGACGGGUGAGUAACGCGUGAGGAACCUGCCUUGAAGAGGGGGACAACAGUUGAAAACGACUGCUAAUACCGCAUGACGCAUAGAGGUCGCAUGAUCUUUAUGCCAAAGAUUUAUCGCUUCAAGAUGGCCUCGCGUCUGAUUAGCUAGUUGGCGGGGUAACGGCCCACCAAGGCGACGAUCAGUAGCCGGACUGAGAGGUUGAACGGCCACAUUGGGACUGAGAUACGGCCCAGACUCCUACGGGAGGCAGCAGUGGGGAAUAUUGGGCAAUGGGCGCAAGCCUGACCCAGCAACGCCGCGUGAAGGAAGAAGGCUUUCGGGUUGUAAACUCCUGUCGUUAGGGACGAUAAUGACGGUACCUAACAAGAAAGCACCGGCUAACUACGUG